rnacentral:rRNA from 1 species
AGUAGCGAAGUUCCUGAUGUCACACUGCCAAGAAAAGCUUCUAGUGAGAAAGUAACUGCCCGUACCGCAAACCGCCACAGGUAGUUGAGGAGAGAAUCCUAAGGUGUGCGAGAGAACUCUCGUUAAGGAACUCGGCAAAAUGACCCCGUAACUUCGGGAGAAGGGGUGCUGACCGCAAGGUCAGCCGCAGUGAAUAGGCCCAAGCGACUGUUUAUCAAAAACACAGGUCUCUGCAAAAUCGAAAGAUGACGUAUAGGGGCUGACGCCUGCCCGGUGCUGGAAGGUUAAGAGGAGAGGUUAGCGCAAGCGAAGCUUUGAAUUGAAGCCCCAGUAAACGGCGGCCGUAACGAUAACGGUCCUAAGGUAGCGAAAUUCCUUGUCGGGUAAGUUCCGACCCGCACGAAAGGCGUAACGAUUUGGGCACUGUCUCAACGAGAGACUCGGUGAAAUUAUAGUACCAGUGAAGAUGCUGGUUACCCGCGACAGGACGGAAAGACCCCAUGGAGCUUUACUGCAGUUUGAUAUUGCGUGUUUGUAUCACAUGUACAGGAUAGGUAGGAGCCGAAGAUACCGGGACGCCAGUCUCGGAGGAGGCAACGGUGGGAUACUACCCUUGUGAUAUGACCACUCUAACCCGCUGCUCUUAGCGAGCAGGGAGACAGUGUCAGACGGGCAGUUUGACUGGGGCGGUCGCCUCCAAAAAUGUAACGGAGGCGCCCAAAGGUUCCCUCAGAAUGGUUGGAAAUCAUUCGUAGAGUGUAAAGGCAGAAGGGAGCUUGACUGCGAGACCUACAAGUCGAGCGGGGACGAAAGUCGGGCUUAGUGAUCCGGUGGUUCCGCAUGGAAGGGCCAUCGCUCAACGGAUAAAAGCUACCCUGGGGAUAACAGGCUUAUCUCCCCCAAGAGUUCACAUCGACGGGGAGGUUUGGCACCUCGAUGUCGGCUCAUCGCAUCCUGGGGCUGUAGUCGGUCCCAAGGGUUGGGCUGUUCGCCCAUUAAAGCGGUACGCGAGCUGGGUUCAGAACGUCGUGAGACAGUUCGGUCCCUAUCCGUCGCGGGCGUUGGAAAUUUGAGAGGAGCUGUCCUUAGUACGAGAGGACCGGGAUGGACACACCGCUGGUGUACCAGUUGUUCUGCCAAGAGCAUCGCUGGGUAGCUAUGUGUGGACGGGAUAAACGCUGAAAGCAUCUAAGCGUGAAGCCCCCCUCAAGAUGAGAUUUCCCAUCACUUUAAGUGAGUAAGACCCCUGAGAGAUGAUCAGGUAGAUAGGUUGGGAGUGGAAGUACAGCGAUGUAUGGAGCGGACCAAUACUAAUCGGUCGAGGACUUAAUC